UCCAUGAGAUGGCCUUGUGCAAUAGGACAAAGAAUAUAAUUUGGAUCUGUACAUCAAAAGCUGAGACCUCCUGCUUAGAAGUUUCAGAUUACUUCAUCAAAGGAAGAAUAGUUCAGUUCUUGAGACACGUGAAUCACUAUUUUGAGGCACAGAGGAGAAACACUUGAUGCUUCAAAAGGACCUGCGAGGUCUUGGGAGAUAGUGAUAGAGCGUGUUUGCUUUGGAUCCUUUUGUUUCUCCCUGAAAGGCAGGAAAAGUAUCUAUUUCACUACUGGUCAGCUUGGCAGCCAGAAGAAUCCAUGAAGUGCUGAGGCUGUAGAAUGAAGAGGCAGAGAGCUGGAAGAAUUAACCCCUUCCUGUCACUACAGAGGUUUUCUGCUCCCAGAGUACUAGUAAGAGAUGAAGAGGUAUUUAUUAUUGAAAUACACAGAUAUUGAAAAAACAAAUUCUCGAACCCAGCAGCAGCCUAUUUCCAACAGAUGCAACUCAAUGACUUUGUUGGGUUUUGUCCCUUCAAAAAGCUAUUUCUGCAUGCUGUGGGAGUGCUUCAGGAAGGAAAGUAAUGAAGCUAUUGUAAAUAUAAAUGCCUAAAUGUGAAUAUGAAUUAAGGUGUGAUUGAAUAAGUUGUUUUUUCUAAAUCAAUAAUGUAGAAACAUGCUUGCUUAUUGGCCACUUUCUGUUUGCACUCUACACAGGAAAGCAAAAACCAACAGCCCAAAACCAAACAAAAAAGCAAACAGAAAGCUGUCCGUGUUCAGUGUUGAAACAUAAGUUGCACAUGUUAAAAAAAUAAAUAAUGAAGGUUUCCACAGCAA